rnacentral:rRNA from 1 species
AUUGAACGCUGGCGGCAGGCCUAACACAUGCAAGUCGAACGAGUGGCGGACGGGUGAGUAAUGUCUGGGAAACUGCCCGAUGGAGGGGGAUAACUACUGGAAACGGGAGCUAAUACCGCAUACCAUCGGAUGUGCCCAGAUGGGAUUAGCUAGUAGGUGGGGUAAUGGGUCACCUAGGCGACGAUCCCUAGCUGGUCUGAGAGGAUGACCGGGCACACUGGAACUGAGACGCGGUGCAGACUCCUACGGAAGGCAGCAGUGGGGAAUAUUGCGCAAUGGGCGACAGCCUGAUGCAGCCAUGCGGCGUGUAUGAAGAGGGCCUUCGGGUUGUAGAGUACUUUCAGCGGGGAGGCGUUACCCGAAGAAGAAGCACCGGCUAACUCCGUGCCAGCAGCCGCGGUAAUAC